rnacentral:misc_RNA from 1 species
GAUGAAGAACGCAGCGAAAUGCGAUAACUAAUGUGAAUUGCAGAAUUCCGUGAAUCAUCGAGUCUUUGAACGCACAUUGCGCCCCCUGGUAUUCCGGGGCAUGCCUGUCCGAGCGUCAUUGCUGCCCAUCAAGCACGGCUUGUGUGUUGGGUCCUCGUCCCCCCCGGGGGACGUGCCCGAAAGGCAGCGGCGGCACCGCGUCCGGUCCUCGAGCGUAUGGGGCUUUGUCACCCGCUCUGCAGGCCCGGCCGGCGCUGGCCGACGCGAAAGCAACCAUUUUUUCUCCAGGUUGACCUCGGAUCAGGUAGGGAUACCCGCUGAACUUAAGCAUAUCAAUAAGCGGAGGA